GACGAACGCUGGCGGCGUGCUUAACACAUGCAAGUCGAACGGAAAGGCUCCAGCUUGCUGGAGUGCUCGAGUGGCGAACGGGUGAGUAACACGUGGGCAAUCUGCCCUGCACUCUGGGAUAAGCCUGGGAAACUGGGUCUAAUACCGGAUAGGACCUUUCUCCUCAUGGGGUUUGGUGGAAAGUUUUUCGGUGCAGGAUGAGCCCGCGGCCUAUCAGCUUGUUGGUGGGGUAAUGGCCUACCAAGGCGACGACGGGUAGCCGGCCUGAGAGGGUGAUCGGCAUCAUGGGGGCUGAAAUACGGCCAAGCCUCCUGCGGAGGGGAGGAGGGGGGAAUUUGGAAAAAGGGGGGAAGGCCGGAAGCAGGGACGCCGGGGGGGGAAGGACGGCUUUCGGGUUGAAAACCUGUUACAGAAGGAACGAAGCGGAAGGGACGGUACCUGAAAGAGAAGCCCCGGCAAACUCCGGC
rnacentral:rRNA from 1 species